UGGGGAAUUUUGGACAAUGGGGCAACCCUGAUCCAGCAAUGCCGCGUGUGUGAAGAAGGCCUUCGGGUUGUAAAGCACUUUUGUCCGGAAAGAAAACGCCGUGGUUAAUACCCGUGGCGGAUGACGGUACCGGAAGAAUAAGCACCGGCUAACUACGUGCCAGCAGCCGCGGUAAUACGUAGGGUGCAAGCGUUAAUCGGAAUUACUGGGCGUAAAGCGUGCGCAGGCGGUCCGCUAAGACAGAUGUGAAAUCCCCGGGCUUAACCUGGGAACUGCAUUUGUGACUGGCGGGCUAGAGUAUGGCAGAGGGGGGUAGAAUUCCACGUGUAGCAGUGAAAUGCGUAGAGAUGUGGAGGAAUACCGAUGGCGAAGGCAGCCCCCUGGGCCAAUACUGACGCUCAUGCACGAAAGCGUGGGGGAGCAAACAGGAUUAGAUACCCUGGUAGUCCACGCCCUAAACGAUGUCAACUAGUUGUCGGGUCUUCAUUGACUUGGUAACGUAGCUAACGCGUGAAGUUGACCGCCUGGGGAGUACGGUCGCAAGAUUAAAACUUAAAGAAUUGAC
rnacentral:rRNA from 1 species